GAGGUAUUAGUAAAACAAAUUACACCACCUUGUCAAGGUAGAGUUAUGGGUUAAACCCCCAUAUACCUCU
rnacentral:tRNA from 1 species